ACACACGAAGAAGAAGGAGAAAAGGAAGAAGAAGAGGCGACCCGGCGGCCACAGCACUAUUCAUUCAUAAACCCAUCCUUUAACUGAGGACUAAGACAUUACACCGAAUGCCUCUAUGAUCCAGCUAACCCUACAGCGAGAUAUACAGUGUUCAGUUUUCACAAGAGGUGAGCCAUGGCUGAACCGACUGCCCCCCGCCCCCAGAGGAAGAUGUCCACCGCUGGGGAGAGUGUGUACAAAGUGCUCGGGCUGGAGAAAGGAGCCACAGCUGAAGACAUAAAGAAAGCAUACAGGAAACUAGCUCUGAAGUACCACCCGGAUAAAAACCCCGACAACCCGGACGCAGCGGAGAAGUUUAAGGAGAUCAACAACGCCAACUCGAUCCUGAACGAUGAGACGAAGAGGAAGAUCUACAACGAGUACGGCUCCAUGGGCCUGUACGUGUCGGAGCAGUUCGGAGAGGAGAGCGUCAAAUAUUACUUCCUCAUGUCCAAAUGGUGGUUCAAGGGUAUGGUUCUGUGCUGCACGAUGUUCUCCUGCUGCUGCUGUUGCUGCUGCUGCUGUUUCUGCUGCGGGAAAUGUAAACCGCCCGACGACGAAGAAAGCUACCAGUACGUCAACCCCGAAGACCUGGAGGCUCAGAUCAAGGCGGAGCAGGACGGAGGUUACACAGUAAUCAUAAGCCAGCCUAAAUCGAAUCUGGAUCCAGAAAGUGCAGAGGGCCAGAGUCAGCCCAUCCCUCUGCCGAUGCCCAUGCCUCCCCCCGAGUCCCAAACCUCACCCAGUGCAGCGGGGGAGGAAAACCCCGGAGAGACCCUCCCAGAGUCCAAAUGACUCGUAAGAGCCGCCUCGUCUAAUUUAAAGGAAAGUGACCGUGCUGAAGAGCCUCGACUAGCGGAAGCAGCCUUUGGACCCCCCGCCUAUGAUCCACAUCCGAUCCACCAUCCAGACCCUCACCUCCAUCCUGACCUCUCCACCAGCCUGAUCCACCCACCAGACAACACCCGUAAAGGUGGGCUCUGAAAGCCACUCGGCCCCCUCCAUGGAACUCAAGUUAUGGAGGAGUAUUCAAAUUAAACUUCUGCAUGGGCUCUGAAAAUCUCUUAAGUCCCGUUUCCACUUCCAGCCUCUCACCUGGCUCAGAUGUGAUUUUUUCGCCAACAGUUUGAAUCAUCCUGGGCUCGGCUUGGCAAAACAUUCCUGGUACUUAUCUGUUCUUAACCUCCCAUUACACCCACUAAGGAUGUGACACUGGGCUUCAAGAUGGCACCAACAGAGGGCUAGAUACAUCAUUUAUCCGCUCUCAACACCAGGACUGGUUUUAAACGUCUCCUGCGUCACCCUCCAUUUCGGACGUUUGGAGCCUUUCCUUUUUACAUUUCUUCCCCUUUAACUUGUCUUGGAGUUUUCCUCCAAAAAAGAAAAACUAACAGGGUUUUUGGGGAUGUGGAAUUUGAUGCUAUUUGUGACGUUUACAUCAGAAGCCAGCAGCACGACGACGUGGGUGUGGAGGAUUUCCUUUUUAUUUCCUCUCCAUCUUCCUUAAGUCGAACAAUUGCAUUCAGUUACUUGUUGCAUUAACACCUUUCAAACAAGCUCUGUGCGUUGGUUCAGAAUAUCCUUUUGAAGAAAACAUUUUGAAUCUGGAGGCGUCUACAUUUCUCAUGAACGUAGGAAACUGAGGAGGUGGGGGGGACAGAAGACAUGUGACGCAGCAGCAGAGACUGCCUGACUUACUGCUGGAUUAAGAUUUUGAUGUUUUAAUGUCUGAGCCAAAACCUGGAGCUGGAGCUUUGCAGCAUGGAUCGGGAGUCGAGUCUUUCCUCCCCAACAUGCAUGCAUUUUUUCCCCUGAAUGCAUGCCAACCCAUUCUGUACAGCACUGGAAUACUACAGUCUACAAUUCAUCACACAACACAUGAAGAACUAUCUACAUGCAGACUCUGGUUACACACACACGCACACGCACACGCACACGCACACGCACACGCACACGGAGACAAAGACACACACACACGCACAGAUAAACCACACAUAAAUGUAGUACAUACACAGACAAAAACACACAUAGACAUACACACACCACACAAAUAAUAAGAUAAUACACACCUAAUACACACAGAUAAACCACACGUACAUUUAGUAUAUACACAGACAAACCCCCCCACACACACACACACACACACACACACACACCACACAAAUAAUAAGAUCAGACACACAUACUCUCACCCACAGAUGAUACACACUCUCACACACACACACACACACACACACACACACUCUCUUACCAGCCCGUAUGUCAUCGUGUGCCAUCCUUGGGUAAAAAAAAAAAAAAAAACUAAAAUAAUCUACGGACUAAAUGGACAAUAACAGAUAACAUUUUAUUACUUAGUCAUGUGUUGUUAGGUCGUUGCGCUCCUUGCAGUCAGACUAUAUGUUAGCCAACAGCUCCAUGUAGUCAGCCAUCCCAUAAUAAUCUCUGGAAACGCCAUUUCCUCUGUAAGCCACAGUUCAGUUUGUCAAAGUUGUUUGCACAUUAUGCAUUUGGAGUCUCUGCACCUUGCAAAGCGGGUCUGUUAACAAUACACUUGGGUUUCUUUUAAUCUUUUAAACUCGGUUCAGGGUGUUUCAUCUUUUAUUUGUAAGCUCUUAUUACCAGAGCAACACGUAAAACAUCCACUAACUAUCUAUACUCUCAGGUCCAGAUUCACUUAGACUGCAUUGCAAGGGGAAUCAUAUCUAAGUGUAUUAAAACGCAGUUACUUAUUAAUAGCA